rnacentral:rRNA from 1 species
UACGUAGGUGGCAAGCGUUAUCCGGAUUUACUGGGUGUAAAGGGCGUGUAGGCGGUCUUGCAAGUCGGAAGUGAAAUUCCCGGGCUUAACCCGGGCGCUGCUCCCGAAACUGCGAGACUUGAGUACUGGAGAGGAUAGUGGAAUUCCUAGUGUAGCGGUAAAAUGCGUAGAUAUUAGGAGGAACACCAGUGGCGAAGGCGGCUAUCUGGACAGUAACUGACGCUGAGGCG